AGAGUUUGAUCCUGGCUCAGAAUCAACGCUGGCGGCGUGCCUAACACAUGCAAGUCGAACGAGAAAGUGGAGCAAUCCAUGAGUAAAGUGGCGACCGGGUGAGUAACACGUGACUAACCUACCUUCGAGUGGGGGAUAACAUCGGGAAACCGAUGCUAAUACCGCAUAACAUCGCAAGAUCAAAGCAGCAAUGCGCUUGAAGAGGGGGUCGCGGCUGAUUAGCUAGUUGGCGGGGUAACGGCCCCACCAAGGCGAAGAUCGGUAGCCGGCCUGAGAGGGCGCACGGCCACACUGGAACUGAAACACGGUCCAGACUCCUACGGGAGGCAGCAGUGGGGAAUUUUGCGCAAUGGGGGAAACCCUGACGCAGCAACGCCGCGUGGAGGAUGAAGCCCCUUGGGGUGUAAA
rnacentral:rRNA from 1 species